AAUUUGUUGUUGUUGCUUCUGGCUUUUAAUUUUAUUGUGAUGUGGUCUAUAGAAUGCUACUUCUUUGGCAUUUGUUAGGACGUGGUUGGUAGCAUACUAUAUGGUCAAUUUAUUAAUUUGUAAUUUUUUAAUUAAAAAAGGUUUUAGAGACAGGAUCUCGCUAUGUUUCCCAGGCUGGAGUGCAGUCACUAUUCACAGGCAAAAGCAUAGCACACUACAGCCCUUUAACUCCUGGGCUCAAGCAAUCCUCCUGCUUCAGCUUUCCAAGUAGCUAGGACUACAGGUGCAUGAUAAUUUCACUUCACACUUUAUUUUUAAAAGUUUAUUUAUGCUUGAGAACAUGUGUAUUCUUUAAUUCUCAGAGUUCUAUAUAUGUCUCUUUGUUCAAGCUUGUUAAUUAUGUUGCCUCAAUUGUCUAUUUAAUUACUAAUUUUUGUCUAUAUAACUACUGAUUUCUGCUUAGAUCUAUCAACUACGGAUCUAUCAAAUCUGUGAAAGGAAUCUUAAAAUCUCCACUAUGUUGCUAUCUAAAUUUCUUUUCCUUUUGUAUCAGUUUUCUGUAGAUUUUGAGGCUAAACUGUUAGUGUGAACAAAAGUUCUCUGAAAAGGAAUGUGAAAGAGACUUUACUGCAGUGAACAGUUUACAAAUUGGGGAGACACAGCCCUCAGUGUAAAAUGAAGGUGCAUUCCUGAGAACAAAGGGAGGCUUUGGGUUUCACAGUGAAAGCUCCUGUCCAGGUUCCUAAUAAGAUCUGUUUAUGCAAAUGAAAGAUACAAACUUGCUUAGUUCUGACUGGGUAACAGAGCUGAGCUCUGAUUGGUUGAUACAGCCGAGCCCUGUUUGUUGAUACAACUGAGCUUGCAUCAACAUUGGUUGGUUCAGGUGAGCUCUGGAUGUGUAUCAAGGUGGAACAGAGGUCUUGGUUUUGGCAGAACUCAGAGUUGGUGUGUGAACUGUAGUCAGCCAAUGGUCGCUUGGCUCUAUUAUAAAUGUAGGACUGGUUAGCCACUUGGGAUCCAUGUUGAAAGAUUGGCUCUUUCAGAUAUAUGUUCACAUUAGGUACAUAUGUGAUUAUUACAUCUUUACGAUUAAUUUUUUCUUUAAUGAAUAUGUAAUGUCCUUCUUAUUCAUAAUCAUGUCUUUUGUCUUAAUUAUUCUUUCAUCUGAUACUAUUUUUUCACCAGUGGCUUUUUUUUUUUUUUGGUUAAUAUUUGCCUGGUAUAUCCUUCUAUCCUUUAUCAUUCACUUUUCUAUUUUAGAUAUGCUCCUUAUAAACAGCAUAUAGCUAAAACUUUUCCUAUUAUAAGAGUUUCCACUUUUUAAUUAAUAAGACAAUCUCUUUACAUUUAUUGUGCUUGCUUUUUUAAAAUACUAAUUCUCUUUAACUUCCUGCCUUGUACUGGCUUGAUUAUGAAGUUUUUGUGUGCUUAUUUAUAUGAAAUAUUCCAUUCAUGAAGAUAAGAAUUGAGACCAGUAUAGGUAAAAUGAACUUCACACACGCAGAACGCAGCUUUAUCGAAUUGUUUUUCAUCCUUUGUUUGGAAAUCACAGAUUCUGCUCCUAUUUGUUUUAGUGGUAGCCAUUAGCUUUUAAACAUGCAUCUGUGACCUAACCCAGGACAAGAAACUUCAAGUACUUUUAUUCCAAUCUCAUCAUUUAUUCAGUUUGUAAUAGCUUUUUAGUAUUUUAUUUAAAAAAAUCCUUUAAACUACUCAUUAUUUCUCUUUUUGAUAGUUUGAGUCAAUGCCUGUCUAGAUUUACCUAUAGACUUGACAACUAUAUUGUUUGCCUGUGAGCAUUAAAAAACAAUAUUUUCUGUUAGUGGCGAACUGUAAUAGCUUUUUAUGAAAAUGUCUUUAUUUUACUCUCAGUUUUUAGUUGUGGUUUAGUUGAUAAUAGAAUUCUAAGUUGCUAGUUAUUUUCCCUCAGUACUUUGAAGCUAUUAUUCCAGUAUUUUCUAUCCUGUAAUGUUGCUAUUAGAAAUUCUGUUGCUAUUUGGGUUAU
rnacentral:lncRNA from 1 species